rnacentral:rRNA from 1 species
UGGUCAAUAGCCUAACGGCUGAACCAGCAACUUGAUGGAACGAAAAACCGAAGUCAUGAGCGGUUACCAUGUUAAUAGAAUGUGGGGCAUGCCUGCUAAUAGUUCGAAAUAAAUUUUGAUUAUGACAUAAUUUGUUUCUAAGUCUUGACCAACUCAUGUGCCAGCAGUCGCGGUAAGACAUGGAAGGCUAGCGUUAUUCAUCUUUAUUAGGUUUAAAGGGUACCUAGACGGUAAAUGUUAGCUUUUAUCUAGUAAGAUUUUCGUACUACAUAUACUAGAGUUACAUAUAAGGAAUUCAGCACGGUGAGUGUAGGGAUGAAAUACUUUGAUACCACUUAGAAACUGGUUUAGGUGAAGACAGGUUCUUAUGUACAAACUGACGUUGAGGGACGAAGGCUCAAAUUACAGCAACAGGAUUUGUUACCCCAGUACUCAGAGCAGACAAUGAUGAAUGUCAUAUGUAAGAAAAAAUUUUUUUAUGUAUAAAUGAAAGUGUAAGCAUUCCACCUCAAGAGUAAUAUGGCAACAUAUAAACUGAAAUCAUUAGACCGUUUCUGGAACUUGUAGUGAAGUAUGUUAUUUAAUUUGAUAAUCCACAAAGGACCUUACCACAGUGUGUAUAGUUAUAUGCAUUUGCAUAUUUCGGACAAGCGUUGCACGGCUGUCUACAGUUGAUAUCGUGAGGCAUGAUUUAAUUCAUAAAUCAACGGAAUCCCUGACUUUAUUUGAAAUAAAGUAUUAGCUUUGGAUUAGGAAUCCCUAUCCGAUAAUAAUAUAUGGGUACAUGACAAGUCAUCAUGGCCAAACAUACAAAUUGAUAGUACUGUGGGCUAU